GACAGAGGUGCCAAGCGUUAGGCGGAAUCACUGGGCUUAAAGCGUGUGUAGGCGGAAUUGUAAGUACCUUGUGAAAUCCCACAGCUCAACUGUGGAACUGCUCGGUAUACUGCUUUUCUUGAGCCACUUAGGGGCUGUCGGAACAAAUGGUGGAGCGGUGAAAUGCGUAGAUAUCAUUUGGAACGCCAACGGUGAAACAGACAGCUGGGAGUGUGCUGACGCUGAGAUACGAAAGCCAGGGGAGCGAACGGG
rnacentral:rRNA from 1 species